GGCUGACAAAGAUGUCAGUCAGACAGAUAACGGCGCAGUGCAGGUGAAUGGGGGCGUGGGUGGCAGAGAGGCUAGUGUGCGGAGCAGUAGGCCUUCAAGUUCUAGGCCGAGCGUCUGAGAGGCAAACCUCUUGUGUGACCUGCUCAGAGUUCCCUCUGCAGUUGCUAUUCCGAGCAGCUUCUCCACGCUGUCGAGAAAAAAUUAAAAUUCUACCUUACCGGAGGGCCUGCUGUAUUUCGCAGCACUGAACCCCGCGGCCUGUCAGCCUGGCCCGCGCCACACGGCGACCACCUUAAUUCCCCACUCGUGCCAACGCCCCGUUUAAGCCGGAGAGUUGUUCUCCCAGUGCCCCAAGGGCAGGCCGCAGACACGCCGUUUGAAAACCAGCUUCCGUCGGGCCUUUCCUCGCUUUCCUGGCCGUUCUAGAAACGCUCGGAAUUCUAGGGUUGGAAUUCAAUAGGCAGCGACCCGACCAGCUUGGCUCUAAGUUUUUGGCAGUUCCCUGCGCGUCCCUUCCCCGCCGGGUCCCAAGGCAAACGCUACUCAAGCCCUAAAUAUACCUGUGCCAGAGUCUGAAGUGGAGGAGGGUCCGGUCCAAUCUAGCCUGGCUAAGAGCCCCAUGGUCCAGGGCCUCCUGGGCCCAGCAGAGCCACCUUCAUGUCCCCAGCACACAGCUCCUUUGAGAGGGGCUUGGAGAAGACAACAGAUGUUGGGGUCAUGGCACAAUCAAGGACCUAAUAACCCUCAGCUGCACUGAAUGAGACCCGGAAGCCCCCUCCACCCGAGACAAACCCUCGGAAUCUCACCCUGAGCUCCUCAGGAGUGGAAGAAGCUAGGAGCCUGCCUGAACUUCUGAGUCAGACACUAGCCCGGGAAUCCCUGCUGGGCCACUUGCCAGCAUGACCUCUGUAAGCCUCAACUUCCCUAUCCGGAAAAUGGGACCUAUGGCAGAGGUUUGUUCUAAGGAUUGCGUGAGCUGGGUAUGAAGCUGUCCGCGGCACAUGGCAGGUCAGUAAAAGGUGCCACCAUCAAUCAUUAGGAAUGGAGUGGUCCAGGCAGGACAUCUCUAGUCCCACCGCACCCACCCACACGGGCUUGGCUCUCCCCGGCGGACCCACCU